rnacentral:rRNA from 1 species
UACGUAGGUGGCAAGCGUUGUCCGGAAUUAUUGGGCGUAAAGCGCGCGCAGGCGGUCCCUUAAGUCUGAUGUGAAAGCCCACGGCUCAACCGUGGAGGGUCAUUGGAAACUGGGGGAUUUGAGUACAGAAGAGGAAAGCGGAAUUCCACGUGUAGCGGUGAAAUGCGUAGAGAUGUGGAGGAACACCAGUGGCGAAGGCGGCUUUCUGGUCUGUAACUGACGCUGAGGCGCGAAAGCGUGGGGAGCGAACAGG